CCGCAUGACAAUAGGGUACACAUGUACCCUAUUUAAAAGGGGCAAAUGCUUCACUAUGAGAUGGACCUGCGUUGUAUUAGCUAGUUGGUAAGGUAACGGCUUACCAAGGCGACGAUACAUAGCCGACCUGAGAGGGUGAUCGGCCACACUGGGACUGAGACACGGCCCAGACUCCUACGGGAGGCAGCAGUAGGGAAUCUUCGGCAAUGGGGGGGACCCUGACCGAGCAACGCCGCGUGAGUGAAGAAGGUUUUCGGAUCGUAAAGCUCUGUUGUUAGAGAAGAACGGUAAUGGGAGUGGAAAAUCCAUUACGUGACGGUAACUAACCAGAAAGGGACGGCUAACUACGUGCCAGCAGCCGCGGUAAUACGUAGGUCCCGAGCGUUGUCCGGAUUUAUUGGGCGUAAAGCGAGCGCAGGCGGUUUGAUA
rnacentral:rRNA from 1 species